GAUGAACGCUGGCGGCGUGCCUAAUACAUGCAAGUCGAGCGAACAGACGAGGAGCUUGCUCCUCUGACGUUAGCGGCGGACGGGGGAGUAACACGUGGAUAACCUACCUAUAAGACUGGGAUAACUUCGGGAAACCGGAGCUAAUACCGGAUAAUAUAUUGAACCGCAUGGUUCAAUAGUGAAAGACGGUUUUGCUGUCACUUAUAGAUGGAUCCGUGCCGCAUUAGCUAGUUGGUAAGGUAACGGCUUACUAAGGCAACGAUGAGUAGCCGACCUUGGAGGUAGAGCGCCCACACCGGAAGUGAGGCACGGCCCAGAAUCCUACGGGAGGCCGCAACAGGGAAUCUUGCGCAACGGGCGAAGGCCUGACGGAGCAACGCCGAGGGAGUGAUGAAGGUCUUCGGAUCGUAAAACUGUGUUAUUAGGGAAGAACAAAUGUGUAAGUAACUAUGCACGGCUUGACGGUACCUAAUCAGAAAGCAACGGCUAACUACGUG
rnacentral:rRNA from 1 species